CACGCCCUAAACGAUGUAUGCUUGGUGUUAGGUUCAUAGAACUUAGUGCCGGAGAAAAUUCGUUAAGCAUACCACCUGGGGAGUACGAUCGCAAGGUUGAAACUCAAAGGAAUUGACGGGGGCCCGCACAAGCGGUGGAUUAUGUGGUUUAAUUCGAUGCAACGCGAAGAACCUUACCCGGGCUCGAAGUGCAGAUGACCGUUCCUGAAAGGGAGCUUUCCUUCGGGACAUCUGUAUAGGUGC
rnacentral:rRNA from 1 species